UGUGUGUGUGUGUGUGUGUGUGUGUAUGUGUGCGUGCAUGCCCGCAUGCACACAUACACACACACCUGCACAUGUGCAU
rnacentral:miRNA from 1 species